UACGUAGGGCGCAAGCGUUAUCCGGAAUUAUUGGGCGUAAAGCGCGUGUAGGCGGUCCGGUAAGUCCGCUGUGAAAGUCGAGGGCUCAACCCUCGAAUGCCGGUGGAUACUGUCGGGCUAGAGUGCGGAAGAGGCGAGUGGAAUUCCUGGUGUAGCGGUGAAAUGCGCAGAUAUCAGGAGGAACACCUAUUGCGAAGGCAGCUCGCUGGGACGUUACUGACGCUGAGACGCGAAAGCGUGGGAGCAAACAGG
rnacentral:rRNA from 1 species